UUGGAGGUUUUAUUACUUCAGGGUGCUCUGCGGGCUGAAAUGAGGCUUCUGGCUGGUUUCCAGAACCUGAUUCCACUUCCUCUGGAGAUUCAGAAGGUUGAGUUGGCUGCUCUAGUUCACUAAAAGGUUCAUCCUCCAAAAGAGGGCCUGGAUGUUGAGAUGGGAUAACAUCCUGCAGUGUUGGAAAAGACUCCACUUCCUCAGCAUUGUCUUGAGGCUGAACUGGGAACUCCAGAUACUGUUCAGAAGAUUCAACUUCCUCAGGAGACAGAAGGUUUAACUGGUGGCUGUUGUUGACUAGGAGAAGGCUCAGAAGUUACUGUACGUUCCACAUCUGCAGGAUUAACUGUAAUAGUUGGAAAACUAUAAUGGUGAACUUGUUCCUGACUGGGAGUUUGAACUGCUGUUGGAGUUUCGACUGUAUUCUGUAUAGAGGAAUCUGGACCUGAAACUGAAGCCUCUUGCUCAACGGGAGCACUGACUUCUUCAGGGAGCUUUGUAGGCAGAGCUGGAACUUCCAGCUGACUUCCAGAAGUUUCAAGGUCUUCAGGAAAAUCUGAGGUCUGACCUGGGGCCUCUUGUGGAACUGAUGAGGGUCCUACCUCCUCAGGACUCUCUGGAAGCUGGACUGGAGCCCGCUGCUGCUGACUCAAAAUGGCUUCGGCCUCUUUUUCUGCCUCUGAAGUUACUGUAAUCUCAAGAUCUGUGGGUUUCGCUGUGACAUUUGGCCAGUUUGAGUGCUCAGCUUCAUUUCUGUUUGGAAAUGGAUCAUUGUUCUCAGGAUGCAUUGAUGCCUCAGAAUCGAGUUGAUGUUGAUCAGGGGGCUGUGGAAGAUAAUCUAGAGUUUCUGCCUGGGAAUGAUCUGGAUGGUGAGUUUGGGUCUUCACCUGGAAGCGGGAUGGUUCAAACUGCUCAGGGCGUUCUGGAGGCUCACCUAUGUCUGCCUGGGAUUGCAGAGGCAGUGUUUGCUUCUUGUGCAGAUCCUGAGGUGAAACAGUGAAUUCAUCUGGUUCUGUGGACGACUCCAGAGAAGUGGGAUCCUGGUAAGCAAAUAAACUAUCAGUCAACUCUUCAAGCGGUGCCGACAUCUCUGAGGAUGCAGAGGACCCCAGGUAAUCAAUGUCCCCUGCGUCUGUCCUGGAUUUUCAUGUAUGGUGGGAUUUCAGUGGAUGAUCAGAAGGGUGCCAAGACCAGAGCAUGGUUGGUGUCCGGGGCUCUGAAGUCAACUGGACUGGGUUUCUGGUCCACUCUGAAAUGGGAGCAACCUGGGUCAGCAGCCACAAAAGCUGCCACAUGAAGAGAAGCCUUUGUGUGCCAAAGUGCAGUAGAGACAUGGCAUGCAGUAGGGACUUGAUCCACAUUGCUGCCCCAGGCUAAUGGGAAACAAACUGAAUGAAAGCCCCCUGAGCUCAGGGAGCCUUGACCACCAGGCCUGCCCUGCCCCUUUGUUCUCGUGGGCUGGUGGCCAACGGCCCACGAGGGGAAGGAGAGACCCACACCUGAUGUUAGUUAGACUUUUAUAAAUAAUCUUGAAUUUAUGGUACAUUUACAUUUUUAUUAUUGGGUGGGGGGAACUGCCACAAUGUGCAUACAGAAUUCAGGCCAGCUUUGGAAAGUUGGUUCUCCCCUUCCACAUUUAAGAGGUUGCCAGGGAUGGAACUCUGGUCAUCACACUUGCAUCAUCAGUUCCUUUAUUCACUGAGCCAUCUUGUGUGGGAGACAGGCUUGAGCCUAGGGUGAAAGUCUUAUUCACAGCCAUACAGCAGGCCUGAGGCAAUGGCCUGACUGCUGGAGCCACAAGGAAUGCCUUGUGGCAUUUUGCUCCCAUUGGCAGAUCAUGAGACUGAUGCCUAGAGCUCGCCACUCCCUAAUCACCACCCUUGGAUACCUCACCUUUAAACUACUUGCUGUGCUGUGAUUGGACCACUACCCCUAUAUAAGCUUGUGCCUUCCUGCAAUAAACCAGAUCUGUGUCACUGAACCUGGUCUCCUGUGUCUGAAUGCGGCUCUGCUGACACAGUCUCCUCACCAGCCCUGGGGUCUGGACGAGGAACUAAGAGAGCAGGAGAGCGGCCAUAGCCAGAGGAGAGCAGCCACAGCCGGCGACCAUAAUCUUGUUCACCCUGUUUAUAAACUUAAUCACACAAUACCAUCUUUCAUCAAGUUUUAUCUCAUAAAUAUUCUUUUAAACUGAGACCUUUUACAAUGGGCUAAUGGUUCUGGUUUUGUCUUCACUUUUUCUUCUGUGCAUUUUGAAACACUCCUUACUUUAGAACAAAACUACAAUCCUUUCUAGUCUGAAAGCAUUUUCUUUUCU
rnacentral:lncRNA from 1 species